UGAAACUUAAAGGAAUUGACGGAAGGGCACCACCAGGAGUGGAGCCUGCGGCUUAAAUUUGACUCAACACGGGAAACCUCACCAGGCCCGGACACCGGAAAGAUUGACAGAUUGAGAGCUCUUUCUUGAUUCGGUGGGUGGUGGUGCAUGGCCGUUCUUAGUUGGUGGAGCGAUCUGUCUGGUUAAUUCCGAUAACGAACGAGACUCUGUCCUGCUAACUAGGCGAGUAAACCCGGGUCGGCGUGUGCGCGGCGCUGGCGGUUUCGGCCGUCAGUGUUCGCGUACCCGUCGGCUCGGCCCGGUAUCCCCGAACGCGUUCGCCCGUCGUCCACGGCGGUCGUCGGGCGCGGCCGCGCCAUCCGCGUCCCGGCGUUCGGCGGGCGUAUGUCGGCCGGGGGGCAACCUCCGGUCGGCCUGCGUCCGUCGUGCGUCGGGCUCCGUGGUGAAGCGCGCCGUGUUCGCGGCCGUCGCCGGCGGAUCACGAUACGUUACUAGGGCUACCGCCGGCUCCCAGGAGCUUAAACUCUUCUUAGAGGGACAGGCGGCGGACGAACAUAGCCGCACGAGACUGAGCGAUAACAGGUCUGUGAUGCCCUUAGAUGUUCUGGGCCGCACGCGCGCUACACUGAAGGAAUCAGCGUGUUUAACAAUCCUGGGCCGACAGGCUUCCGGGUAACCCGCUGAACCUCCUUCGUGCUUAGGGAUCGUGGCUUGCAAUUUUUCCACGUGAACGAG
rfam:Acyrthosiphon pisum strain LSR1 Contig1814, whole genome shotgun sequence.